rnacentral:rRNA from 1 species
AUUGAACGCUGGCGGCAGGCCUAACACAUGCAAGUCGAACGAGUGGCGGACGGGUGAGUAAUGUCUGGGAAACUGCCUGAUGGAGGGGGAUAACUACUGGAACCGGUAGCUAAUACCGCAUACCAUCAGAUGUGCCCAGAUGGUAUUUGCUUGUUGGUGGGGUAACGGCUCACCACGGCGACGAUCCCUAGCUGUUCUGAGAGGAUGACCAGCCACACUGGAACUGAGACACGGUCCAGACUCCUACGUGAGGCAGCAGUGGGGAAUAUUGCACAAUGGGCGCAAGCCUGAUGCAGCCAUGCCGCGUGUAUGAAGAAGGCCUUCGGGUUGUAAAGUACUUUCAGCGGGGAGGCGUUAACCGAAGAAGAAGCACCGGCUAACUCCGUGCCAGCCGCCGCGGUAAUAC